GCUGCCACGAUCCACUGAGA
rnacentral:snRNA from 1 species